rnacentral:lncRNA from 1 species
UUCUGGAAGAGUAAACAUGCAGUUUUUCAUGUACUUGCAGGAAGACCCGAGAUUUUUGCUUGGUGUUGAAUGAUCAUCAAAUCAGAAUUACUUGACUGAUAGAGAAAAAAUAUCAAGUGAAGAAUUCAUAUAUUUAUAAAAAUAUAAAAUAGCAGAGCAGAUAGUAAGGGUUGAGGGGUUAUACGAAAUCAUAGAAGAGGGCCUGUUUAUGUAACUUCUGAUGAUCUGAUCUCUUGUUGAAGACCAGUGGUUAAUGUUGGUACUCGAGUUAACGAAAACUGAGAUUUUCUGCCAGAAUCUGCAUUCUUAUCUCCUCCAUGUAUUUCAUAUACUAAAGGACUGACAUUAGCGGUCAAAACACAAUCCAUGGACUAUGCAACAACUGACUAUCACCAACUAUAUCCUGUUAAGCACAAAGAUAUCAUUAGAGAAAAAUGUUUUGCCUACUUUUUGACUACAACAUACAUAUGUUUUGUACCGUUCCCAUCUAUUUCCUGUAUGGUGCAUCUCUACAGGAGUAGUGUUCUGUACGGAUCUUGUGAUGCAUGAGGCUUCUGCUGAUUGAGCUCAUUUUCAAACAAACAUUCUUCAAACCAAAUACUGCUGAGAACAAUUACUACCAUACCAGCUGCUUCCUCUCUGCCCAUUACAACCACACCCAUUACCACAUCUAUUAGUCCAAUCCAAUCCAUAAUUACCAGCUGUCUCCUCUUACUUUCAUUAAUUGACAUAAACUGGUAGCAAUUUGGAGAAACUCCAAAAAUUAAACAUACAGUAACAUUGCAAGUUAACAAGUAAAUAUAUUACGACUUAUUAAAUAAAAAGAAUCUAAUCUUUUGUUAGGCAUAAACUCAUAGACUAACAUCUUAUGUAGUCUGCUAUCAUCCCCUAUUGCAUUAAUUAAUAAAUUGCAAAAUUUUAAAAUAAUAUUGUGCUUGAAUAAAAAUUAGGUCAACAUAAUAAUUAAAGAGAAAAACUGAAUUCAGGAGCUCUGUUUUCUUAGACAUGUCCUAGGUUCUAAUUCAGGAAAUAGAGUUAUGCAUCUCAAUCUGAAGCUUACCUACAGCCUGUGAUAGACGAGAAGACUAAUCAACGCCAAGAAGGAUUUGGUAUGAGAACUAGCAAGUGAACAAUCAAAACAAGAACAUAAACAACUUCACCCCAUCUUCAUCCCCAUCUCACACUUAUGCAUAGAGUUGAGAUUACCUACAAAAUCUCAUAUAGAAACGAGAUUACCAGCAAAAUGAAAGCCCAAGAGUUGAAACCCUAAUUUGUAGAGAGAGUUUAUAAAUGGAGUUUGUAACUAUCAAUCAGAGGUUUAAAAUUUGUAAAAUGGAUAUGUUUGCAAUCGAGAGAGGUGUUUGUGUUUCAAUACCCUAUACAAUUGCACAAAGAGCUUCACCAGAGGGGAGGAGAAAGAGAUUGGAAAGGGAGAUAAAAAUUAGAGAUAAGAGGCGAGGGGGGAACUCAAAAUU